UAGCCAUCCUGCCGGACCUGACUGCUAUCGAAUUGAUACUAAGCCAUGUGAGUCAUUGUAGUAAUACAAGGCAGACGGCUCAGUAACACGUAGCGUUUGCUAACCUAUGGACGGGGAUAACCUCGGGAAACUGAGGAUAAACCCCGAUAGAUCAUUAUGCCUGGAACGGUUUAUGGUCCAAAUGAUUCGUCGCCGUAGGAUGAGACUGCGGCCUAUCAGCUUGUUGGCUGGGUAAUGGCCCACCAAGGCUAUUACAGGUACGGGCUCUGAGAGGAGAAGCCCGGAGAUGGGUACUGAGACACGGACCCAGGCCCUAUGGGGCGCAGCAGGCGAGAAACCUUUGCAAUGUGCGCAAGCACGACAAGGUUAAUCCGAGUGAUUCCUGCUAAAGGAAUCUUUUGUUAGUCUUAAAAUCACUAUUGUUUAAGGGGUGGGCAAGUUCUGGUGUCAGCCGCCGCGGUAAAACCAGCACCUCAAGUGGUCAGGGUUCCAAUUGGGCGUCAAGCAUCCGUAGCCUGCUCUGUAAGUUUCCGGUUAAAUCCAUUAGCUCAACUAAUGGCCUGCCGGAAAUACUGUAGAGCUAGGAAGUGGGUGUAGGUAGACGGUACUCGGUAGGAAGGGGUAAAAUCCUUUGAUCUAUUGAUGACCACCUAAAGCCUUGGCGGUCUACCAGAACACGUGAGACGGUGAGGGAUGAAAGCUGGGGGAGCCCCCCGGAUUAGAUACCCGGGUAGUCCCAGCUGUAAACGAUGCAGACUCGGUGAUGCGCUGGCUUGUGGCCAGUGCAGUGCCGCAGGGAAGCCGUUAAGUAGGCCGCCUGGGAAGUACGUACGCAAGUAUGAAACUUGGUGGAAUUGGCGUUUUC
rnacentral:rRNA from 1 species